UGCCUUUUGGGUUGACAAAUGCACCCGCUGCUUUCAUGGAUCUCAUGAACAGGGUGUUUCGCCCGUAUCUUGACCGCUUUGUGAUUGUGUUCAUUGAUGACAUAUUGGUUUAUUAUAAGAGAGAAGAGUUACAUGCUGAGCAUUUGAGUAUAGUAUUGGAGACUUUGAGGAUAAAUCAAUUGUAUGCUGAAUUUAGUAAGUGUGAGUUUUGGUUUGACCUUAUGACAAUGAAGACAACGAAGAUGGAUGGAAUUGUUUGAAGACUAUAAUUGUACCGUAGAGUACCACCCUGGUAAGGCGAAUGUGGUGGUGGAUACACUCAGUAGGAACCUCUCUGUGACUUUGUCAUAUUUAGGGGUCAUUUGGGUACCGCUAUUGUCUGAAUUGAGGUCUACUGGGGUUGAGUUAUCGGUUGAUGAGGAUGUUUCCAUGGUGGCUAGUUUCCAUGUGAGACCAGUGUUCAUUGAUAAGUGCGUGAGGCACAAUCUUUUGACCCAAGAAUUGAGGGGAUUAAAGAAGGUGUUCGUGGCGGUUGGUAACUUGAAUUAUCUAUUCGAAGAGAUGGAACUUUAAUGUUUGGAAAGAGACUUGGUGUUCCUACUUAAACAGGAAAUACUUAAUGAAGCUCAUAGUUCCGCGUAUGCUCUACAAACUGGUGGUAUAAAAAUGUAUCGUACUCUAAAGGAAUAUUAUUGGUGGCCAAACAUGAACAGAGAAAUUGCAGCCUUUGUGAGUAGAUGCCUUGUAUGCCAGCAAGUGAAAGCAGAAAGACAGAAGCCGUCAGGUUUGUUACAACCUUUGCCAAUUCCGGAAUGGAAAUGGGAAUAUUUCACCAUGGACUUUAUGUAUAAGUUACCUCGCACCCUGGUUGGUAAUGAUGGUAUUGGGUGAUUGUGGAUCGACCCACCAAAUCAGCUCAUUUCCUGGAGGUUUGAGAAACUUUUAGUGUAGAUAACUGACAACACUGUGUGGAUGAGAUUGUGAGGCUUCAUGGUGUGCCCUAGUCCAUUGUUUCCGAACGCGAUGCCCGCUACACAUCAAAGUUUUGGAGGAAGGUUCACAAAUGUUUAGGAACAAAAUUACAUUUUAGCACUGUUUUCCAUCCUCACUGAACGGACUAGACAGACUUUGGAAGACAUGUUGAGGGCUUGUUCUCUACAAUUUAAAGGAAGUUGGGAUAAGCACUUGGCUUUGAUGGAGUUUGCAUAUAACAACAGUUACCAUUCGAGUAUUGGUAUGGCUCCCUACGAAGCUUUAUAUGGGAAACAGUGUAGGACCCCAUUAUGUUGGGAUGAAGUGGGAGAAAGACAACUUAUUGGUCCUGAGAUUAUUGAGAUCACAACAGAUAAAGUUAAGGUGAUCAGAGAGAGACACAAGAUGGCUCAAAGCAGACAGAAGAGCUACGCAGAUAAACACAGGAAGCAUCUUGAAUUUCAAGUUGGUGAUUGGGUAUUUUUGAAGUUAUCUCCGUGGAAGGGUGUGGUAAGGUUUGGUAAACGGGGGAAACUAAGUCCAAGGUAUAUUAGUCCCUAGGAGAUUGUGGAACGAAUUGGUCUUGUCGCUUAUCGCUUGGCUUUACCUCCACAACUAUCUCAAGUACAUGAUGUUUUCCACGUCUCCAUGCUUCGCAAGUACAUCACUGAUCCUCCACAUGUGUUACCAGCUCAACCCAUUACACUUACAGAAGAUUUAACAUAUGAAGAAGAACCAGUACAUAUCCUUAUUUGUCAUGAGCGGGCAUUCCGAAGUAAGAUACAAUUUCGAGGACGAAAUUUUAUAAGGAGGGGAGAUUGUAAUACCCCGUACCUUAAAGUUUUUACUAUUUACUUUUUACGAUUAUUGACCAAGGAGUUGACUUUUUCCUCGUCCGUUGAGUUAAGGAAAUUUAUUUGAGAUUGUCGUAGAAUACGCAAAAUCGAGUUCGUGGACACGUAGUUUGUUUAAAUUGGAUUUAUAUCGGAAAAGUUAUGACCAAAAAUAAAAAUUUCUAUUUUUGGCAUGGCUUUUUGUUUGUGAGCUUCUAUAUGUGGAAGGAGGACUUAUUAAAACAGAUGGAAGAGAGAGAAAGGGAAAGAAUCAGAAAAAAAUAAAAGGAAAGAGAGAGAGCACGGGUAGAAACCCGAGUCACCCCCCUCCCAUUUUCUUUUUUUUCUUCUUCCGUCGCUGCUCUUUCCUUCUCCGGCGAAUUCGUCGCCGUCCGGCCACCCCAAGACGCAUCGUUGGGCACGGCGUGAUCCUCUCUUCCUUCUCCUUCUAGCUAUCUUGUCUUGAGCUGUGGAGGAAGAAUUCAAGGUGAUUGGGGACGUGAACAGUAGCGUGAACAGUUCCAUCCGAGUUCUUGAGUUUGGGUUUGGAAUUCCAGCUUUUUCUGCUUGUUUUUGGAGAUUUCUGCUGGUUUUCUUUGAAGUUUUGGGUUGCUGGGUUGUUGUUGAUGAUCAUAUCUAACUAUUGCAGCUUGUGUUGGCCGGUGGAGGAAGAUUUGAGAGUAUUUGGAGACGUGAACAGUAUUAUGAACAGUGCUGCGAGUUCUUGAUAUUUUUUUGGGUAUAAAUUCGGCUAUUUCUGCUUGCUUUUGGUGGCUGCUGCAGGUAUAGAAAUGGUUGUGUGGGUUAUGAAGUUGAUUUUGGAAUAAAUAGGUUGAUUGGAAUUGAAUUUACUCUUUAAGUGUGUGUUAAACUUGAGGUUUGUUUGAUAUUGAGUUUUCUUUGGUUGUGAUGUUGAACAUGGUUGAUGGAUUUGUCAUGUUUGUAGUGUUGGGUGAAAAUUCUUGGUAAAGGGCUAUUAUUAAUUAUUUGUUAGGAAGUAGAGAGAAUUUGAGAUUGUUAGAGUGGAAUUUGUGAUUUUGCAAAGGAGAGAAAAAUUAAGAAAGAAUGUGGAAUUGUUCUAUUUUGUGGAGGAGUUUGGAGUGGAGAUUGUGUUUUGGAAAAGAAAAUCUAGAGAGGAGUUGAAAUUUAGAGAUGGAAUUGUGAGUGGAAAUAAGGAAGAUUAAGAAUGAAUUUGGAAAUUUUGGAAAGGAUUUUUAUGAUAAAUUGGUGGUAUUUUUGUGAUGAAGGAAGUGAGAUUAAAUUGAUUUAGUUAUCGAACGGUCCUUGUGAAGAUUUAAAUUAAGUGAAGUCAUUGAAUGGUUAAGGAAUCGAUUGAGUGGUUAUGAGUUAGAGGGCUUUGACAUCGUAAGGAAUUAUAGAAUUUAAUUCCGAAUAGAAGUGUGGAAUUUUAUAAUAAUUUGUGAUUAAUAGACGCUUAUUCCGAGGGGAAUGGGUUGUUUUGAGAGUAUUUCAUUGUAUGGUCAAUUAUAUCCUAUUCUAUUGUGACAGGACGUACUGAGCCCUCGAGCGAGGAGGACACAGACAGGCAGCAGGGUUAGCUGCGGGAUUUACUUGUGAGUGGACUUUUAUUUUGUUAAAAUAAUGCAUGCAGCUUGGAAAUAAGUUUACAGUUGAUUUAUUAUUUGAGGAAAUGUGACUAUGGAAAGAAAAGGAUUAAAAAGGAAACAGUUGACAAGGAGGCCAGUUUGGCGCAUGCGUAUCUUACCUAGUUGGCAGUCCCUUCUAGGUAAUAGUCUGGUUG